ACCUGCCCCCGGGAGCUGUCCCCGCCGCGGCCCCACCCGCGGCCCAGCUUCCCUGGGGCGGGGCCGGACAGGGCGGAGCCAAGGCCGGGCGUCCAGGGGAAAGGAGGUUCCCAAGGUGCAGGGAAGUAUCAAUUGUGAUUUUCCAAAUCGAUACCGGGGCUUCCUCGGACGAGGUGCUGCAGGUAAUGGAGUCAAGGCCUCAAGGAAAUAGCAGCAGGGACCAACAGACUCCGACCGUUCUGGACAGUCAGGCCCGCUUCGCGAAGGAGACUUGCGGCGGGUGGAAUCACGGUUGCGGAAGAGCCGAAAGCGCGGGUGGGGGAACCAGGCUGGUUCCACCUUAAGAGACCGCGCGGCACGGCGGCUGCGGAGGCGCCAGGCACCUGCAGGAGGCGCUGCUGCCCCGCGGUUCCGCCCGCGCCGCGGCGCGCCGCCAGCCUCGCUGCUCGCGGGCCUCGGUCCCCGGAGGGGGUGGGGACGCUGGGGGAGGAAGGGAGCGAGUGCAUCCGUUAGGUAAGGAACCCGAGCCCUCCCGGAUUUUGAAGCGGCCUCAGUGAGGCGUUUGCUGGAGGGAGCUUUCCGUCAUUCUGCCGCGAGAGGAAAUGUGGGGAAGCGCCCUCCCCUGCCCCCACCGCCUGCCUUCCUGCUUCCCUCCACCUCCGCUCCCCGACCCCGACCGUGCUUCCCAGACCCUUUGUUCUCGAGGUUGGGAGCUGCUGGGUGGGGGCUCCCCGGGGAAGAGGUCCCCCUGCGCCACUCGGAAAGAAAGGGAUUCUCGCCUCACCCCCCCACCCUCAGCCCUUCGCAGCUAAGUCCUCCUCGCCCCACCGCCCCUUCCUUCGCGUCCUAAUGCUUCUUUCCUGCCCCGGACUCCCCCCCAGCUCCCGAGCCUCCCGCUCCCAGGCCUCCACCGUCUGUUUGCCCGCCUCCCUUCCCACUUGGCCACCUCCAAGGUCUCUGGGAAGAGGGUGGGAGAGGCAGACGUGAGGGGGAGGAGGAACCACGUCGCCUCCGCGGCUCGGAGAAUCCCCAGGGAGCCUUUUAGGCCCCGACCCCUGGGACCCGCCGCAGAGGAAGGGGUUUCCCGGCGCCGCCGCAGGGCGAAGGGACAGCCCCAGCUGGGAGGCCGCCCCCUCCGCGUCGCCGGGAGCCCAAGGGCGCACAACCCCGCCCGAGCCUUGGGGUGAGGGCCCCGCCGUGCGCGGCCUCCCCGUCGGCACCCGAGCCCCACGCUUGGAGAGAAGGGGACGCCGUUUCUCCCCAGUUGGAGAAAAGGGGACACCGUAGUUCGUGCCCUGGGAAGGCGAAUUGCAAACGGACGCCCCCUUCUUCCCCUACCCACCCUCUGGGGCGCCACCCGCGUAGCUUCUCCGCCGCGCGCGACCCCGAGGGCUCCCGCGAUUGUAUCUUCUUGAGUACAGUUACAAUUGCGCUCAGCUUCAUUUCUUACUUAGGCGAAGGCGUCGCUAAGUGAAGCCAAGGGACAGGGAUGCAGGGGGACAGAAGCUGGGGCAGGAGACUGAACGGAGAGGUAGGAGGACGUGGCUGGGCGGCCCAGGCGUGGACGGCCUCCCGGAGUCCCGAGUCCCGAGGCAGUUGAGGCAGGACUGCCCGGGCAGGCCCACGCCCCGGCCCGGGCAGCCGCAGCCCAGCAGCCGAGCCCUCCACGCCCUCAGCUCUGAAUGAGCCUUCUCAGCGUGCCAUCUACGCCCUCCGCGCGCUCGCGACCGUGGAGGGGGCUCCGGAGGAGCCGGGGCGCGAAGUAGGUUUCCCCUCCCCUCCCCCCCGCCACCCCGGGAGAAGUGGACGCGGCCUGGGGCAGUCAGCUCGGGGCUUCCUGGGAUCCCCUCCGGCCUCUGGUGUGACCCUGGACCUCACUGGCUCUUCGCGCGCCGCGCCAGCAGUUCUCUGGGCAGCGGGUUCCCCGGGACACACCCCGUCCCCACCCCCGAGAGCUGGCGGCCAGCUCGGGAUGCCAGGCGGCCAGGCGGGCGCCCUGCCAAAUUCCGCGUUCCUCUCCAGGAGACGGGGAGUUGCGUCCCAGGCUCGGGAAAGCCCGCAGUUUGGACUUGGGACUCGCUUGCAAAGCCCCCCAAGGCGCCAGGGACGCCUCUGCAGGUUGAAUUCCUGCUCCGUAUCACUUCAAUUUUAAUUAAUCUUUUAAAACACCGCUGUCACGUCGCUUGCAGAAAAUUAAUCAAACCUGAAUCCUUGUUGCAUAGCAAGAAUUUCGAUCCGAGUCUUUUAAAAAGGACUUGACUUUGCAAAGUCACGUCUUUUACAGUUCCCUCAUUCCCCCUUUAGCAAGGGAAAUAUUGCAAAAGUCAAGACAUGUUUGUUUGGUUCUUUCUAUCUUCAAAAUGAAACUUUGCUUAUUUCUGAUCUUUAUUUUCUGUCUUUGAACAAAAAAAUAACGAGAUAAAUUGCCUACCUCUGUUAAUUCAAAAUAUAAUUACUUUGAAUGAUCUUUGUUUAAGAGCCCAGAUAAACUAAGAUAAUCUUAAUUUUAAUGUGACACGACCCCUAUUUUUCCUUGUGAAUAAUGAGAAUAAAGCAGUCAUUAAUUAAUACCAAGAUAUCUCCAUAGAAGAUGGUAUCUGGUCUCACCGAGAGGCUGAAACAUCAGUUGUAUUAGUAAGUGAUACUGUAUAAUUGAACAUGAAGAUAGUCGUCUAUUUUUAACCUCAAAGCUCAGAGUUUAUUUGGUGAUUACUGAGCUCCUAAUAAUUAAUUUUCGUUCCUUCUUGCUGCAUAAAUAAUUUCUAUGAUUCCCAGUUCCCAUGCAACACAGAGGCUUCUCAUUAAAAUCCACCCCUCAAAAUAUGUGAAGCCGGAUUGUGGAGCAACCCUUUCUAUUUCAUUACUUAUAACAUAUAUAUGCUCUAUUUUUUAUAUCUUCCUGUCACGUUCCCCCUUUGCUGUGAUUUACCUACUAAAAAAAAAUAGAAUAUAA